CCCUAUCAACUUUCGAUGGUAAGGUAUUGGCUUACCAUGGUUUCAACGGGUAACGGGGAAUUAGGGUUCGGUUCCGGAGAGGGAGCCUGAGAAACGGCUACCACAUCCAAGGAAGGCAGCAGGCGCGCAAAUUACCCAAUCCCGACACGGGGAGGUAGUGACAAUAAAUACUGAUACAGGGCUCUUUUGGGUCUUGUAAUUGGAAUGAGUACAAUUUAAACCCCUUAACGAGGAACAAUUGGAGGGCAAGUCUGGUGCCAGCAGCCGCGGUAAUUCCAGCUCCAAUAGCGUAUAUUAAAGUUGUUGCAGUUAAAAAGCUCGUAGUUGAACCUUGGGCCUGGCUGGCCGGUCCGCCUCACCGCGUGUACUGGUCCGGCCGGGCCUUUCCUUCUGGAGAGCCGCAUGCCCUUCACUGGGUGUGUUGGGGAACCAGGACUUUUACUUUGAAAAAAUUAGAGUGUUCAAAGCAGGCCUUUGCUCGAAUACAUUAGCAUGGAAUAAUAGAAUAGGACGUGCGGUCCUAUUUUGUUGGUUUCUAGGACCGCCGUAAUGAUUAAUAGGGAUAGUCGGGGGCAUCAGUAUUCAAUUGUCAGAGGUGAAAUUCUUGGAUUUAUUGAAGACUAACUACUGCGAAAGCAUUUGCCAAGGAUGUUUUCAUUAAUCAGUGAACGAAAGUUAGGGGAUCGAAGACGAUCAGAUACCGUCGUAGUCUUAACCGUAAACUAUGCCGACUAGGGAUCGGGCGAUGUUACUAUUUUGACUCGCUCGGC
rnacentral:rRNA from 1 species